rnacentral:rRNA from 1 species
GAUGAACGCUGGCGGCGUGCCUAAUACAUGCAAGUCGAGCGAACGGACGAGAAGCUUGCUUCUCUGAUGUUAGCGGCGGACGGGUGAGUAACACGUGGAUAACCUACCUAUAAGACUGGGAUAACUUCGGGAAACCGGAGCUAAUACCGGAUAAUAUUUUGAACCGCAUGGUUCAAAAGUGAAAGACGGUCUUGCUGUCACUUAUAGAUGGAUCCGCGCUGCAUUAGCUAGUUGGUAAGGUAACGGCUUACCAAGGCAACGAUGCAUAGCCGACCUGAGAGGGUGAUCGGCCACACUGGAACUGAGACACGGUCCAGACUCCUACGGGAGGCAGCACUAGGGAAUCUUCCGCAAUGGGCGAAAGCCUGACGGAGCAACGCCGCGUGAGUGAUGAAGGUCUUCGGAUCGUAAAACUCUGUUAUUAGGGAAGAACAUAUGUGUAAGUAACUGUGCACAUCUUGACGGUACCUAAUCAGAAAGCCACGGCUAACUACGUG